GGGGUGCCCGCGCGCAGGACGGGACGCCAGGGUUUGUGUGGGGGCAGCUCGGAGAGCCGGAACUGAAAGACCAGAAACCAGCCUGCCCUAGUCAAAGAAAGUUAGGGCCCAACCAGCCUCUCCCCAAGAAGCAGGGGGUAGGGAGGAGGUCCCAGGGAAGAACCUGGUUGCCAAAGUCUCGGCCAGUUGGAGAAGAGAUGGGUCUCCCGAGGAUACCCAAGCCCAAGCUCUACACUGUCCCAAGGUGGUUUGUUUUUCUUCUUUCUUCUAUUGGUCUGGACCUUGUAUAUUCUGGGAGGAGGUGAUUAAGGCCAAAUUGCCUUAAGUGGCCAUCCAGCCAGAAGCUGGAAGAAGGGAAGGAUGAGAGGGAAUGAACUGUUGUGUUACGGCUAUUGAGAGAAACAGUGGCAAUACACAGCCAAAGCCCUGAGUUUCUAAUACGGCGCCACCUCUUAUGAGCUGUGAGAUCUUGGGCAAAGUAACUAACCUUUAAGUAUUUGUCUGUAGAAUUGAGAUUGAAAUACUUAUCUUUGCCAGAAUUGUUAUAAGAAUUAAAUGAGUUGAAAGUGUUUCAUCAAGUGUGCAAUGCUACUCAAGUAGGAGGGACUAAGCUACUUCCUUCUCUCACUGCUUGACUGAGCUUCUCUCCAGCCCCACCCCCUGAUGUUUACUGCUUAUGGAGAAAGAGAUUAAGUGAAGCAGGCCCACACAUUCAUGAAGGUGGAAGGAAGAUGUAGCAGGAGAUGGUGGAGAGGGAAACAGAGGAAGACAGGAUGACAGACGUGGGGAGGAAAGGCUGAGCGAGGCAAUGUCCUGACUCACUCUGGCGCUUCCCUCUUUCCCAUCUGGGCUCCAGAGUCUCUGCCCUCAUUCCCCUUCACCAGGUUGCUCAACCCUCCAUCAGACUGUUAGGUCAAGGGUGGACAAACAGACCAACCGGGAUCUGGAUGGCCCCUGGGCAGUACUGACUUCCCCUACCAUUCCCAUGGCAAGAAAAGGGAGUGAUUCCACUAGCAGACUCCCCUACCCUGCAGUGAGACAGCCUGUAGGAAGCCUCAACUCCCGACCCAUGGCCUGUGGUGAGAGGUGCUAACAACAUGACCUGCUUUCAUCUUGACCUUCCCAGCCCACCCAGAGAAAAGGGAAUCUUGGCUAAAAAAAGGCUGGAAGAGGGGAGAACCCUGGCACUGCGGGUGGGGCUGGGAGGAGCCCAGGCAACCUUACUGGUGAGAAUCUCAUGGCUCUUCAAGCUGACUGCUAAGCUGGAUGCGUAGGGGAAAGCAGAGAAAAGGUGAUUUACUGGGACACAGAGACACAGGCUGGAAGAGAUAGCAUGUGUUUCCUUAAAAUUUGAAGCAUUUGGCUGGGCACAGUGGCUCACACCUGUAAUCCCUGCACUUUGGGAGGUAAAGGCAAGAGGAUUUCCUGGGCCCAAGAGUUAGAGGCUGCAGUGAGCUAUGAUUGUGCCAUUGUACUCCAGCCUGGGAGACAGAAACCCCCUCUCUUAAAAAAAUAAAAAAAUAAAAAAUGGAACCAUUGCUCUGAGUUUCUAAUAGGGGGAGU
rnacentral:lncRNA from 10 species